ACCAACGCUUUUGUUGUUUAUAGUUGUUCGUUUGGUCGAGUCGAGUGCAGUGAAAAUUUUUCUAAGCGAACGCGGUUUUGAAAGAAGUCCGUUUACGGAGUUUUUCGUUUUCUUUAUUAUUUGGUGUGUAAGGUGAAAAUAAAUGCAAAAACCCGAAUUUGUCGACGUGGAAAUGUUCACCGAAUCUUCAGAUGAUGAAGGUACGAUCGGAAGCAUAACGGAGCCUAGUCUGACGGAGUCGUUUGUGCCGGAACCAGUCUGUAUUAGCAAAGAUCCAGCUUCUGCUUCUUACUCUCCAUUGAAGAGGCAGAUCAUAGAUUGGGAGUUGGACAACAACAGUGGCUAGAUGCGUUAAAACUAGACGAAACGUAUUGUAUCCAAUUAGCAUUAAAGCAUGCUUGAAUUUUUCUAAUAACUUGUUCAACAAUUUAUUUUUUAAUACUGAUAUUCAAAUCGUUAAUCCAAUUGAACUUAAUCUAAACCAACUAGACUACUUCGGGAAACUUGACGAUUCAUUUGAUUGUCAAGACAUAGUAAUAUGUGACACAGUAACGUAUAAGGGUACAUUGCAUAAGAAAACUAAUUUUUUAACAGUGACAAACGGAAAAAUGACAAAACUGUAUGAAAUUCAUGAUACAAUGUUAGUUUCAAAUAGGUUUUUCGUAGCAGUUGUGCAAUAUGAUAUAAAUUAUAGCUCACAUUUCGUUUCGUUUGAGAUAGGUGCAAAACAUGAUACUGUUAAAAUGAUAAACUUAGAAGCUUUCGACGGUCCACCCAUUCACUUAUAUUUGCUCAACAAUGGUAAACAUUACAUAAGAAUGAAAAAAUAUUUUAAAUGAUGUAAGACCGAAAACACAUUCAAAAGCUCUAUUGAUAUUUGUACCGUUAUUGGCAUAAUAAAAUGGUUUCGAUACUCUA